UACCUACGGGAGGCAGCAGUGGGGAAUAUUGGGCAAUGGACGCAAGUCUGACCCAGCAACGCCGCGUGAAGGAAGAAGGCUUUCGGGUUGUAAACUUCUUUUAAGGGGGAAGAGCAGAAGACGGUACCCCUUGAAUAAGCCACGGCUAACUACGUGCCAGCAGCCGCGGUAAUACGUAGGUGGCAAGCGUUGUCCGGAUUUACUGGGUGUAAAGGGCGUGUAGGCGGGACUGCAAGUCAGAUGUGAAAACCACGGGCUCAACCUGUGGCCUGCAUUUGAAACUGUAGUUCUUGAGUACUGGAGAG
rnacentral:rRNA from 1 species